ACAAAAACUUGGGAAACUCAUACCAAAUGUUAUCAUUUACUUUAAUAUUUAACAAUUUGAUGGGUAAAAUAAUAUUGCUGCUUUAAUUCACAUGUCCUCAUUUAUUAAUGAAGUUGAACAUCUGAUCAAAUGUUUAUCACUUGGAUUUCCUCUUCUAUGAACUGUUUAUAUCCUUUGCCCAACUGUCUUUUGAACUGUCCUUUUUCAUACUGAUUUCAUUCAAUCAUGUAUUCACUCAACUAAUAUUCAUUCAACUAAUAUUCAUUGAGCAUCUACUAUAUGUGACAUGGUGGGGUUAGAGUAUUUAACCAGGCAAAUUCCCAACACUAAUGAAGAACACUUUUCCUCUGUCAUCCAUGCUGCAAACCAGCUCAAAUGUCUAGUUGUACCUUUAGGCUCUGCUAUAGACGUGUUGUGGCAGAUGCUAGUCAUUAUGGUUGUAGCUUUUAUGAUGUAAAAAUACUUAGCAGUAGUACCAGGUGCCUGUACACCACUAAUUACUUAGUACAAGUCACCAAUUUAGUAUUUCAGAAAGACCACGUUGUCCAAGCUUCUGUAUAGCACCUUGCUGGCACCCCACCCUCACACCCUCCAAGGUCACUGUUACAUUCCCUACUUCAAGUACUUGUGACUUACUGCCCUGAGCCUUUUAUGACUACACUUGCAUGCUUAGCCCUUGAUAUGGCCAGAAGUGCCAGAGUUAAUGCCCCUGAGAGCAGCCUUCUACCAGUGACAGAGGAGGAGUUGGUGGGAAAUCGCCCAGCUUUCUACCCCCGUUUGAUGCGAUGACUAAGAGGUGUGCACCCUGCCCUGGUUCUCCACGCAGAUGAAGUCCCAGUUGCUCACAGUGUGCCAGGUUCACUCAUUCACUCUGUCGGGCCCCGCUUGUGCCCCCAUCACCAGUGCUUCCUGGGCUUGCCACACAAAGAAAUUACUUGCACUUGUCUCUGUUUCUCUCUCUGUUUCUGUUUCGGGAAGGAUCGAGCCAAGAUACACUGAUUUACAAAUGAGGAACUAGCAGUAGGAGGCAGUGUAGCGUGGUAGAUAGGAGCGUGAACUCUGACAUCGGAGACCUGGAUCCAAAACGUGGUACGCUACUGACAGUGGACCCCUGAACACAUUUUUAACUUGGGGUUUCGCCCCUGUGACAGGGUUUCAAGAGCUCACGUGGUUAUUAGGAAGACUGAACUAAUUAUGUCAUUUUCUCAUAAUGUCUAGUAAAAAUGAUAUUAUUAAUAUUAGAAAAAGUGAGAACUAGACAAUACCAGUAGCUCACGUGAGGCUACAUGGGCACCUGAGACUCUUACGUCCCUUUUCAGAAGACUCAACUCUCCUGUAUCCCCACGGCUAGGGACAAGAAUGGAUUUUCCUUUUCCUGGGCUUUAACUACUCCUAGGCAUGUUGGGAGAUUGGGGUGCUUUAUCAGUGCUACCUAACAAAACAUUCUAUAUUUGCAACACCCACUGUGGUAGCCACUAGCUACAUACAUGCCUGGUGAACACUUGGAAUGUGCUGGUGCAACCAAGGAAGUAGAUUUCUAAUUAUAUUUACUUUUAACAAAUGUAAAUAGCCAUAUAUCGCUAGUGACUACCGUAUUAGGCAGCUCAGAGCUAGAGAAAGGGGGUUGGGCGAUGAUAGGAAGAAUCUUAGUUCUUUCUUUUCCCCUAUUUUUCUCUUGCCUCCUGUUUCCUCUCUCAACCAGAGCUAUUCAUCUCCUCAUCACAGCUCUCUGCCUUCUCCUCCUUUGUAUGUGCUAAGUUCCCUGGAAGGAAGCAGCAGGGGCUUGACAACCGUUGUAUUUUCAUACACCCAGCAAGGUCUGGAUGUCCCCUUUUGUGAGUGUCUUUCUGCACUGUCACAGCUGCAAUUCAAAAGGUUCUGCCAAAUAAAAGCAUUAGGGUGGGUCCUCACCCACCUUAUUCACUGCAUUCAGCCCGGUGUGACUUCUGGCUCUUCCCCAAAGUCGAAGUGAUGAUGAAAGUUUCCAGCUGUCACCUUCACAAGGACGAUUUAACAUUCUCAGUGUGCGUUGUUUAUGAAGGGCCCUGAAAGUUGGUGACACACAGCAAAUGGCUCCUCGGCCUCUGUCUUCACCUCUUUUGAUGGAGACCACCAUGAAGCAGACCUGAGCAAGACUUAAAUUAAUCAAUUGGCUUUUCAUGUUCACUUUCAU